GCUGACUGAUAUCUCCUGGGGAGGUGACUGAUAUCUUCUACAACACCAGAGCAGGUGACUGAUAUCUCCUGUGCUACAACGCCUGGGGCAGGUGACUGAUAUCUCCUGUGCCUACAUCACCAGGGAGGUGACUGAUAUCUCCUGGGACAGGUGACUGAUAUCUCCUGUGCUACAACGCCUGGGGCAGGUCACUGAUAUCUCCUGUGCCUACAUCACCAGGGAGGUGACUGAUAUCUCCUGGGACAGGUGACUGAUAUCUCCUGGGGCAGGUGACUGAUAUCUCCUGGGGCAGGUGACUGAUAUCUCCUGGGGCAGGUGACUGAUAUCUCCUGUGCCUACAUCACCAGGGGAGGUGACUGAUAUCUCCUGUGCUACAACGCCUGGGGCAGGUGACUGAUAUCUCCUGUGCCUACAUCACCAGGGAGGUGACUGAUAUGUCCUGGGGCAGGUGACUGAUAUCUCCUGGGGCAGGUGACUGAUAUGUCCUGGGGCAGGUGACUGAUAUGUCCUGGGGCAGGUGACUGAUAUCUCCU